rnacentral:rRNA from 1 species
ACGGAGGGGGCAAGCGUUGUUCGGAAUUAUUGGGCGUAAAGGGCGCGUAGGCGGUCUGACAAGUGGAAGGUGAAAUCCCCGCGCUUAACGUGGGAACUGCCUUCCAAACUGUUUGACUUGAGUCCGGGAGAGGUGAGUGGAAUUCCCAGUGUAGCGGUGAAAUGCGUAGAUAUUGCUCGGAAGGCCAACGGCGAAGGCAGGUUACUGGUACGCAACUGACGCUGAGGCACGAAAGCGUGGGGAGCAAACAGGA